UAGUCAUAUGCUUGUCUCAAAGAUUAAGCCAUGCAUGUCUAAGUAUACGCAAAUUAUACUGUGAAACUGCGAAUGGCUCAUUAAAUCAGUUAUAGUUUAUUUGAUGUUUCUUGCUACAUGGAUAACUGUGGUAAUUCUAGAGCUAAUACAUGCGUAAAAAGCCCCGACUUCUGGAAGGGGUGUAUUUAUUAGAUAAAAACCAUCCUCCUCGGAGUUUGGUGAUUCAUAAUAACUUCUCGAAUCGCACGGCCUUGUGCUGGCGAUGCUUCAUUCAAAUAUCUGGCCCUAUAAUCUGUCGAUGGUAGGAUAGAGGCCUACCAUGGUUGCGACGGGUAACGGGAAAAUAGGGUUCGAUUCCGGAGAGGGAGCCUGAGAAACGGCUACCACAUCCAAGGAAGGGAGCAGGCGCGCAAAUUACCCAAUCCCGACACGGGGAGGGAGUGACAAUAAAUAACAAUGCAGGGCCCUUUUGGGUCUUGGAAUUGGAAUG
rnacentral:rRNA from 1 species